AGUGAACGCUGGCGGUAGGCCUAACACAUGCAAGUCGAACGGCAGCACAGGAGAGCUUGCUCUCUGGGUGGCGAGUGGCGGACGGGUGAGGAAUACAUCGGAAUCUACUCUGUCGUGGGGGAUAACGUAGGGAAACUUACGCUAAUACCGCAUACGACCUACGGGUGAAAGCAGGGGACCUUCGGGCCUUGCGCGAUUGAAUGAGCCGAUGUCGGCUUAGCUAGUUGGCGGGGUAAAGGCCCACCAAGGCGACGAUCCGUAGCUGGUCUGAGAGGAUGAUCAGCCACACUGGAACGGGGGCACGGUCCAGACUCCUACGGGAGGCAGCAGUGGGGAAUAUUGGACAAUGGGCGCAAGCCUGAUCCAGGCAUACCGCGUGGGUGAAGAAGGCCUUCGGGUUGUAAAGCCCUUUUGUUGGGAAAGAAAUCCAGCUGGCUAAUACCCGGUUGGGAUGACGGUACCCAAAGAAUAAGCACCGGCUAACUUCGUGCCAGCAGCCGCGGUAA
rnacentral:rRNA from 1 species